GAUGAAGAACGUAGCGAAAUGCGAUAAGUAAUGCGAAUUGCAGAAUUUCCGUGAGUCAUCGAAUCUUUGAACGCACAUUGCGCCCAUUAGUAUUCUAGUGGGCAUGCCUGUUCGAGCGUCAUUAAGUCCACUUAAGCCCUGCUUAGUGUUGGGAGACUGCUCCAGCGGUGCUACCCUGUAGCUACCCUGCAGCUCCUCAAAGACAGCGGCGGAGUUGUGGUAUCCUCUGAGCUUAGUAACUUGUUCUAGCUUUCGAGUACACCACUUCCCCUGCCGUAAAACCCUUAAUUUUUAAUGGUUGACCUCGGAUCAGGUAGGAAUACCCGCUGAGCUUAAGCAUAUCAAUAAGCGGAGGA
rnacentral:misc_RNA from 1 species